rnacentral:rRNA from 1 species
CAGUCGCCACGGGAAAACGGAGGGGGCUGGCGUUGUUCGGAAUUACUGGGCGUAAAGUGCACGUAGGCGGCUUGGUAAGUUAGAGGUGAAAGCCCGGAGCUCAACUCCGGAAUUGCCUUUAAGACUGCCGAGCUAGUAGGUGAGAGAGGUAAGUGGAAUUCCGAGUGUAGAGGUGAAAUUCGUAGAUUUUCGGAAGAACACCAGUGGCGAAGGCGGUUUACUGGCCCACUCUAGACGCUGAGGUGCGAAAGCGUGGGGAGCAAACAGGAUUAGAUACCCCGGUAGUCCCUGUCUCUUAUAC